UGUGUGCGGGCAGGCGGCAGUCCCUAUCCCGAGCUGGGUGCUGGGUGACUGCAGGCUGGCCCUUUCCCGAGCUGGGCGCUGGGUGGCCCUGCGGGCGGGGGCCGGCGGAGGCUGCGGGUUGUGGCCGUGCAGCGUGCGGGACCCUUGGCAGGACCUUCUUGGGGGACUUUGGAGACGGGACGCUGACAAAACAGGGAUUGUGACAGGCCUGCAGAAUGUUAACAACUGUACUGAAUAAAGGGUCAGUGUGCUGCUUU